AGACCCAUGAUGAAAUUAGUACUAAAUUAGAUUACUCAGUUAGUCUCUACAUAGACUGUGGAAUUUGCCCUA
rnacentral:tRNA from 1 species